AUUGAACGCUGGCGGCAGGCCUAACACAUGCAAGUCGAACGAGUGGCGGACGGGUGAGUAAUGUCUGGGAAACUGCCCGAUAGAGGGGGAUAACUACUGGAAACGGUAGCUAAUACCGCAUACCAUCGGAUGUGCCCAUAUUGGAUUAGCUAGUAGGUGGGGUAACGGCUCACCUAGGAGACGAUCCCUAGCUGGUCUGAGAGGAUGACCAGCCAAACUGGAACUGAGACACGGUCCAGCCUCCUACGGGAGGCAGCAGUGGGGAAUAUUGGACAAUGGGCGAAAGCCUGAUGCAGCCAUGCCGCGUGUAUGAUGAAGGCCUUCGGGUUGGAAAGUACUUUCAGCGAGGAGGCGUUACUCGCAUAAGAAGCACCGGCUAACUACGUGCCAGCAGCCGCGGUAAUUC
rnacentral:rRNA from 1 species